rnacentral:rRNA from 1 species
AUUGAACGCUGGCGGCAUGCCUUACACAUGCAAGUCGAACGGCAGCGGACCUUCGGGUGCCGGCGAGUGGCGAACGGGUGAGUAAUAUAUCGGAACGUACCUUUCAGUGGGGGAUAACGUAGCGAAAGUUACGCUAAUACCGCAUAUUCUGUGAGCAGGAAAGCAGGGGAUCGCAAGACCUUGCGCUGAUUGAGCGGCCGAUAUCAGAUUAGCUAGUUGGUGAGGUAAUGGCUCACCAAGGCGACGAUCUGUAGCGGGUCUGAGAGGAUGAUCCGCCACACUGGAACUGAGACACGGUCCAGACUCCUACGGGAGGCAGCAGUGGGGAAUUUUGGACAAUGGGCGCAAGCCUGAUCCAGCCAUGCCGCGUGAGUGAAGAAGGCC